rnacentral:other from 1 species
AUGUCCCUGCGGUGCUCGAUAGCGACAAGCGUGUCUUGAGCCGAUAAGCAAAUGCUUAAGGAAACUGAUAUGACGAGGUUGAAAAACAGGCCCGCUUUUGACGGGAAGUUUGCCAUCCUCAUGAAGUUUCCCUCUUGGACCCCUUGGUUCAAGAACCCCGUUCGUACCGACACUGUGGGGCAUAU